CGGACUGUGGCGGCAGCUACACAUGCAGUCGAGCGGCAGCGGGUCCUUCGGGAUGCCGGCGAGCGGCGGACGGGUGAGUAAUGCCUAGGAAUCUGCCUGAUAGUGGGGGAUAACGUUCGGAAACGGACGCUAAUACCGCAUACGUCCUACGGGAGAAAGCGGGGGAUCUUCGGACCUCGCGCUAUCAGAUGAGCCUAGGUCGGAUUAGCUAGUUGGUGAGGUAAUGGCUCACCAAGGCGACGAUCCGUAACUGGUCUGAGAGGAUGAUCAGUCACACUGGAACUGAGACACGGUCCAGACUCCUACGGGAGGCAGCAGUGGGGAAUAUUGGACAAUGGGCGAAAGCCUGAUCCAGCCAUGCCGCGUGUGUGAAGAAGGUCUUCGGAUUGUAAAGCACUUUAAGUUGGGAGGAAGGGCAGUAAGCUAAUACCUUGCUGUUUUGACGUUACCAACAGAAUAAGCACCGGCUAACUUCGUG
rnacentral:rRNA from 1 species